GAUGAAGAACGCAGCGAAAUGCGAUACGUAGUGUGAAUUGCAGAAUUCAGUGAAUCAUCGAAUCUUUGAACGCACAUUGCACCUCUCGGUAUUCCGGGAGGUAUGCCUGUUCGAGCGUCAUUUGUACCCUCAAGCUCUGCUUCGUGUUGGGUGUUUGUUCCGCCUCUGUGUGUGAACUCGCCUCAAAACAAUUGGCAGCCGGCGUACUUGUUUCGGAGCGCAGCACAUUUUGCGAUCCAGAUCAACGUACAGCGGCAUCCAAGAAGCCUUAUUUAACGCUCUUGACCUCGGAUCAGGUAGGGAUACCCGCUGAACUUAAGCAUAUCAAUAAGCGGAGGA
rnacentral:misc_RNA from 1 species